rnacentral:tRNA from 1 species
AUUUAAAUAGCUUAUAUUAGAGCAUAACAUUGAAGAUGUUAAGGAGGUUAAAGACUUUUAAAUA